rnacentral:misc_RNA from 1 species
GAUGAAGAACGUAGCGAAGUGCGAUAAGUAAUGUGAAUUGCAGAAUUCCGUGAAUCAUCGAAUCUUUGAACGCAAAUUGCUCUUCCUGGCAUCCCGGGAAGUAUGCCUGUUUGAGGGUCAGUGUUAAUAAAAAUCGGUUCGUUUCGAAUUUUUUUGUGACGUUCCGGAGUUUGGGUUAUCUUAACUUUUUUGGUUAAGAGGCUUAAAAUUGACCUUUUUUUGCGCAUUUUUUAGACGUACAUAAAUUUUUUUUUUAUUCGUCUAUUCUUAAUGCAAAAAUCUUAUUAGAUGCGACCAUAUCGUGUGGUUUCGUGUCCAUAAAUUUUUCAUGAUUUGACCUCAAAUCAGGUAAGAGUACCCGCUGAACUUAAGCAUAUCAAUAAGCGGAGGA